UUAAGCAUAUCAAUAAGCGGAGGAAAAGAAACUAACAAGGAUUCCCUUAGUAACGGCGAGCGAAGUGGGAAGAGCUCGAGCCUGAAAUCCCUGGCAGUCACUGCCAGAGAAUUGUGGCCGGGAGAGGCAGCUAGGCCCUGACGGACGCUGUCGAAGUUGACCUGGAAAGGCACGUCGGAGAGGGUGAGAACCCCGUGUGCGACACCGUUGUCCUGGGCCGCUACUGCCUUCGGAGAGUCGGGUUGUUUGGGAAUGCAGCCCAAAGUGGGUGGUAAACUCCAUCUAAAGCUAAAUACUGGCACGAGACCGAUAGCAAACAAGUACCAUGAGGGAAAGGUGAAAAGUACUUUGAAAAGAGAGUCAAAAAGACCGCGAAACCGUUAGGAGGGAAACGAAUGCAGCUAAAUUGGCUCGGUAUCAGGUUCAGGAGUGAUGUUGAUUGGCGAUGCCUUGUUGCAAAAGCUGUAUGGCUUUGUUGCUCGGAUAGCCUUCGACUCCUCCACAUUCCUGUGCUCGAGCUGGCCAACAACAGUUGUACGUGGCUGAGAAGGGCAGUUGGGUAGGUAGCUUUUCAUUCGUGGAGAGAACGUAUAGCCUUCUGUCUGGUAGUCUGCGUGCGACUGAGGAUCGCUUGCAGCGUAGGCCCUACGGGCUUGGGCUGCCUCUGGUCGUUUAGGCGCCGCGUUGGGGACUGCGUGCAGUGUCCAGUGACGGUUUGUCUGCUCGAGCGGGGGGCUGGUCACACCUUACGCUGUGGUUGUUGGUGUCCAAAUGGCUGCAUCCGACCCGUCUU
rnacentral:rRNA from 1 species